GAGGAGUGACCAAGCAUAAAAGAGGUACUAAUAUGCCUCCGAAAAUGACGAUCUUGAAGAAGAACACAAGCCUCCCAAUUUUGGUGGCACUGAUAGUCAUGGCUAAUGUCCUCUACUUUUGCAUUGCAAACAAUGAGAUAGAGACAAAUGCUCUGCCCCUACCAGCAAAAUGCUAUGAGAUGCCUCUCCCAAACUGCACGGAGAAGGCGUGCCAGGAACUUUGCCAAGACCCUAAAGGAUCAUGCGACAAACUCUACACAUACUUUUGUUGUUGUCCAAUUUCCUAAAGGGGACUAUAAUGUUAUAGUAAUAGAUAUGUCAUGAAUAAUGCAAUGCAUGUAUGGGACACAUAUGGUAGCUAUCAAUGUAAACCCUUUUGAUAUC